GCGAGGGGGCCAGAGGGAGCUUUCUGGGGGUGACACGGACAUAGUCUAGAUCGUGAUUGGAGGGGCUACGCUUGGGGUAGACAUUUGUCAAAAUUCAUCGAGUCCUACCCUAUGCAUUUCUCUGUAAGCAAAUUGAUAUUGUUUUAAGCUGGAAGAAAACUUUCUCUGAAGCCUCUAGUACUUCCAUCAAGUUUUAUGGGUUAGAAAAGUGCCACAUGCCUGUUUCCCAUGACUGGCAGAGACAAGAGUUGCCCAUUGCAGCUAGGAAGCAUACGGUGGCCAGAGCUGGGCUUUUCGAGGUGGAAUUGUGGAGUUUGUAACCAGUGGUAUCUCCAGUGGAUGUAGAGGGUAAAGUCUGAGUACACUUCGGCUGCCAGCAUCCUUGAGUGACAUGGAAACUAAGCCAUCUGAGAGAUGGGAGUUCUGGAUACAGUAAUGGGGGAGGAGUCAAGAUUGACCUUGGAGGUGACUUCCUGGGAAGAUGGUAAGCGUCUUAAGACAGCACAGUUGCUUUGGAGAUUAAGAUUCCAACAGGCGAAUCUGGGUGACACGCUCAAACACAGCAAGGACAGAUGUGGUGGCAGGCUCUGGUGUAUGCCUUGGGGACACAGCAAGGAGCAAAAUAAAAACCCUUGCCUGUACUGAGAGUGACUCCGGAAAUCUGAUCUACAUUUGUACUGUUAUGAUUAUCAUCGUCCCCAUUUAUAGGCACGGAAGCAGAGGCCGUGAGGGGUGAGGUCACUCUGCCCAGGAGAGGCCAACAGAGCUCUGACUUCAUCUCUUCCUAAUUUCCAAGCGGGCCCUAGCCACCGCACUGGGCUGGAAAGACAGCAUACCCAUGUGGAAAUGACUUCACGCUCCACAAACAAAGCGCCACGUGGAUCGAAAGGAGCAGAAGAGACAUUUUUUUUUGCAUAAAGGCUGCAGGAAUACAGUGCAAGAUAGAGACGUGAUUUGCAGAGGGGUAGAUUAGAGGCCCAGAUCACAGUGAUUUCAGAGCUGGUCUUUUUGAUCAGAUUAACCAAGAAGGCUUCCUGAGAGGAAGGCUGCUCAUGGUGGAGUCUCUCAGGAAGGGGAAGGCAUGGGCAGGACAGCGUAUAUAUGUGAGUCUGUGGAUGCCCAAGUCGCUCUGUGUACCACACCCGUCAUUGGACAGUAACACCAUUCGCUCCCCUCCUUCAUUUGCUGGCUACUGACGAGUGUGGAGGAAGGAGUCCUGGUGGGCCCCAUUUGACAGCAUUUGUUGUUGCGGAAAUCAUUAGGCCCCUGCCAACAGCACCCGGACCUUGCAGGUCUUCAGGCUAGAGAUAUACACACAAUGAUGCAUUUGAAAAAAUUCUCCAACAAGAGCUGUGACUCAUACGCAUUUCUGCAGGGACAAAUGAAAACACCCAGAGCGAAAGAUGGAUUAGUCACUGAGCAGUUUGCUUUGGAGAACUGAGCCCCUGGCAGUUGCCCUUGCUCUUCGCUAGCUUUGAUAUUUGGCAACCAGGCCCCUAAACGGAUGCCCACCAGGGGUGUGGGAUAAAGCCCAACUCAGCGGCUGGUGAUAGGAGACAGGAUGGCCUCGGUGAAGCAGGUGCAGAGCAAAGAACGAUGCUCUGUCCGGGACUGGGCUUCCCCAGUGCAAGUGGAGCUGUGGCACCAUUCGUCCACUGCAGGCUCCUCUUCUGACUGCUCUUUACCUGGGUUGUUCACCGGAGCUGCCUCUAAAUGAAAGCUGUUCAUUUAUUCGUGCAUUCAUCCAACCACUCUAUGGCAGACAAGGAAGGGUGUUAGGCUCUGUGUGGCACCGCCCGGUGUGGAC